rnacentral:rRNA from 1 species
ACGGGAGGCAGCAGCUAAGAAUAUUCCGCAAUGGACGAAAGUCUGACGGAGCGACGCCGCGUGGAUGAUGAAGGUCGAAAGAUUGUAAAAUCCUUUUAGGAGUGAAGAAUAAGAGGUGCAGGGAAUGGCAUCACGGUGACGGUAGCUCCUGAAUAAGCAACGGCUAAUUACGUGCCAGCAGCCGCGGUAACACGUAAGUUGCGAGCGUUGUUCGGAAUUAUUGGGCGUAAAGGGCAUGUAGGCGGAUAUGCAAGCUUGGUGUGAAAGGCGGGAGCUCAACUCCCGAACUGCGUUGAGAACUGCAUAACUAGAGUGACUGAGGGGCAGGCAGAAUUCCAGGUGUAGGGGUGAAAUCUGUAGAUAUCUGGAAGAAUACCAAUGGCGAAGGCAGCCUGCCAGCAGAUGACUGACGCUGAGGUGCGAAGGUGCGGGGAGCAAACAGGAUUAGAUACCCUGGUA